UGGGUGGAUAUGCUCGGUGGU
rnacentral:miRNA from 1 species